rnacentral:lncRNA from 1 species
AACAGCUUUACCUAGAUGGACUUCUUUGAAAAGGACAAAUGUAGCAUAUUCUAGUAGUUCUAAGAAGGGUUAAUUGUGAUCUAGGGUGAUCCCGAGUAUGAUUAUGUGGAAAUCGGCUCAAACUUCUGGGUCAUCUAUCAUCAAACUUCUGGGUCAUCUGUCAUCAAAUAAACAGAAGAAUAUUGAGGGGCUCAAACCUCUGGGUCAUCUGUGUCUUUGAAGCCAAGUAAGAGAGAAUAUUUUGAAGUAGAAGGUUUAAUCCGGACGGAAGUGGAAUGAUUAACCUGGGCUGCCUUGAUUAAGAACGUCAAAUCCAUUUGUGUUGUUUUGGGUCACUCACACCGAUCUCUUUUUCUAUUUUGUGAUUUCUGAAUCCACCUAUUCUGUGAAAGCCUUAAUAAUUUUGAUCCAUCUUGGGUUUGACCUCAGCUAAGAAACUGUGACGUGGAGACUUGAUGAUAUUUUUAAUGAAAUUUUCCAACUUGUCAGUUUGAUUCAUAGAGACUUGAUGAUGUAUACUCCUG